rnacentral:rRNA from 1 species
UGGGGAAUAUUGCACAAUGGGCGCAAGCCUGAUGCAGCAACGCCGCGUGAGGGACGACGGCCUUCGGGUUGUAAACCUCUUUUAGUAGGGAAGAAGCGAAAGUGACGGUACCUGCAGAAAAAGCACCGGCUAACUACGUGCCAGCAGCCGCGGUAAUACGUAGGGUGCAAGCGUUGUCCGGAAUUAUUGGGCGUAAAGAGCUCGUAGGCGGUUUGUCGCGUCUGCUGUGAAAACCCGAGGCUCAACCUCGGGCCUGCAGUGGGUACGGGCAGACUAGAGUGCGGUAGGGGAGAAUGGAAUUCCUGGUGUAGCGGUGGAAUGCGCAGAUAUCAGGAGGAACACCGAUGGCGAAGGCAGUUCUCUGGGCCGUAACUGACGCUGAGGAGCGAAAGCGUGGGGAGCGAACAGGAUUAGAUACCCUGGUAGUCCACGCCGUAAACGUUGGGCGCUAGAUGUGGGGACCAUUCCACGGUUUCCGUGUCGCAGCUAACGCAUUAAGCGCCCCGCC